CACGUAGGGCGCAAGCGUUGUCCGGAAUUAUUGGGCGUAAAGAGCGUGUAGGCGGCUUGGCAAGUCUGGUGUGAAAUCUUGCGGCUCAACCGCAAGCGGUCACUGGAAACUGCCUCGCUAGAGUCCGGAAGAGGAGAGCGGAAUUCCUGGUGUAGCGGUGGAAUGCGCAGAUAUCAGGAAGAACACCCGUGGCGAAGGCGGCUCUCUGGGACGGUACUGACGCUGAGACGCGAAAGCGUGGGGAGCGAACAGG
rnacentral:rRNA from 1 species